rfam:Echinostoma caproni strain Egypt genome assembly, scaffold: ECPE_scaffold0019715
GCUGACGAGUCCCAAACAGGACGAAACAGCUGUCC